UAAUUCUGCUAACUGUAUAAAGGUGUCUC
rnacentral:piRNA from 1 species